GGAGAGAUGGCCGAGUUGGUCGAAGGCGCUCGACUCGAAAUCGAGUAGGCGGUGAUGAGCCGCCUCGUGGGUUCGAAUCCCACUCUCUCCGCCA
rnacentral:tRNA from 2 species